ensembl:lncRNA
AAAUUCUCGCCUGACAGGUUCAUCUCAAUGCUUCUCUUAGCACUGAAAUGUUAUGUUCGUUUCUAGGAUUUGAAAAAGAUUUGGGAAGCAUGCAGGAUACCGUGGGGUGUAAUGCAGCAUUCCUGCUCUUCUGGGGAAUCUUGAAUUCUUACUUUCCUCUAGAUUGCUGCCAAACUGCCCCUACUUUUACUGCCAGUUAUUCUCCAGACCUUUAUGUCUCUGUUUCUACAACAACUCCAGACUCAAGUUCAUCUAUCUUCACCACAACAUCAGAAUCAAAUCCCCUCACAAACACAAGUACAACCGAGUCUUACUCCACCAUUCAAGCCACUACACAACUGAAGAACACUUCUCUCAGUGACACUUCUGACUCAACAUUAAACCAACAAAGCAUUGCCACUCAAACAACGGAGCCCUUAACUAGUGCCACUGCACAUGGGAUCAGUUCAACAGGAAGCACUAAAACAACUAGCUCGGACACAUCAACAACAUCUGAGACACCUACACUGACUCCAAAUCAUGCAAACAAUGAUUCCAUUACCACCACUGAUUCCAAAACACAAUAUAAAGUAGAGCAAACCUCAGACAGCAAUACAUCCAUUUUUUGGUCUACUGGAACAUUAACUGGUACCCAAAGACCUGAGCCAACAAAUGGAACUUCAACCAAGAGUAGUGUCACAAAGACAUCAUAUUCUGAAUUGACAACAACAAUAAUUGUGCCUACAACAACUCCAGACUCUUCAUUAGCGUCCCCUGAUGUGUCUUCUAAAACAUCAUACUCCACUUUGACAACAACACAACAGCUUGAGUCAUCAGACCAUGCUCAAGUCUCCAUCACAUCAAAUGAAUCGACAACUACAAUGAUUUCCUCUACAACAACUCCAGACUCAAGUUCAUCUAUCUUCACCAAAACAUCAGAACCAAAUACCAUCACAAACACAAGUACAACUGAGUCUUACUCAACCAUUCAACCAACUACACAACUGAAGAACACUUCUCUCAGUGACACUUCUGACUCAAUAUCAGAACAACAAAGCACUGCCACUCAAACAACGGAGCCCUUAACCAAUGCCACUGCACAUGGGAUCAGUUCAACAGGAAGCACUAAAACAACUAGCUCGGACACAUCAACAACAUCUGAGAUACCUACACUGACUCCAAUUCAUGCAAACAAUGAUUCCAUUACCACCACUGAUUCCAAAAUACAAUAUAAUUUAGAGAAAACCUCAGUCAGCAAUACAUCCAUUUCUUGGUCUACUGGAACAUUAACUGAUACCCAAAGGCCUGAGCCAACAAACGAAACUUCAACCAACAGUAGUGUCAAAAAGACAGCAUUUUCUGAAUCGACAACAACAAUGCUUGUGUCUAAAACAACUGCAGGCUCUUCAUUUCCGUCUUCUAAAACAUCAUACUCCACUGUUACAACAACACAACAGCUUGAGUCAUCAGACCAUACUCAAGUCACCAUAACAUCAAAUGAAUCGACAACUACAAUGAUUUCCUCUACAACAACUCCAGACUCAAGUUCAUCUAUCUUCACCAAAACAUCAGAACCAAAUACCCUCACAAACACAAGUACAGCCGAGUCUCACUCAACCAUUCAACCAACUACACAACUGAAGAACACUUCUCUAAGUGACACUUCUUACUCGCCAGCAAUCUACCAAUCUAUUAAUGAAUUAAAUACUACAUCUUUCAACCAUCUGAAAACACAAAUGUCUCAAACAUUUGCUGCUGCCACUGCACUUAUUCAGCCUCCAUCGUCACCAAUCACGCCAGACAAUGAAUAUACUGCAGAGCCUUCAUUUACAACAUCAACACUGACAGACUUCAAAAGCACACUGAUAAAUGUACAGAAAGCAGCAUCUAUGUCAUCUCCAUCAGAAAAUCUGCUAAAUGACAGUCAAGAAACUCCAACACCUGUGACAGAAUCGCAAUCAUCUCAGUCCACAACAAAUUAUAUAACACUUAAUUCUAGUUUGACUAUUUCCUCAGACUCAACAACACUGGUUCAGACCUCAAGCCCUGACAUACCAGUGAAAGUUACAGCUACACCUGAACACAUCCACCCAGAGCGCUCACAAACAACUGUAACUGAUUUCAGAGCAUCAACUCUACAGAGAACAUCUACAACAACACCAACGCUGGUUCCCAGCCAUCUGCAAACUCAGGAAACAGUUUCAAGACAAGCAGUGACACCUGAUUCAAAGUCCACAUCCAUGAACAUGCCCUCAAUGUUUCCAACCACUCAGGAAAACCAAAAAACGAACACUCACACAUCCUUAAGUCCAAUUUCUCCCACAUCUCCGCUCAGGUCCCUAAGCAAUGACUCAAAACCCGUCACCACUUCAUUAGCUCAUGAAUACAGAGGCUCAGCUUUGGUGAUAUUAACUCAAAGUGGGCUAAACAGGUCUGAUUCAGAAGGUACUACAAUCAAAGACACCUGGUCAAACAACAUAUCUUCAAUACCAGCAGGUCUAACAAACCCACCAUUGUCAAGCAACACCAGCAGAGAUGGAAAUACAGAUAACUCUGCAAACUCAGUGAAAAGCACCACUUUUUUUGUCUUCAACACUCCCAAAGUGCCUGUGUUUAAAACAAUCACCUUUAAUCACCCAUUGGUUAAUCAAGUCACAGUGAUGAAAACUGUUUCAAGACCAUGAAACGGUCAUAUAAAAUGACUUAAAAGCAAAGUGUGUGAGUCUGAGAGCUUAUAUCUGGCUCCUCGUGUGCAUGACUAAUGUGGAAGAGCCAGAGACAGAUCAGGAAUAUAAAGAAUGUAGAAGUUGAAAUGUUUUUGUGGUUACUGAACAUCAAGCAGAUCAUAUGACUAAGUGCCACACACCAACAAACAAAUAAACAAAGACUGAAACCAAAUGUGAUGGAAGAACAGAUUUAAUGUUGGUUUAAUAAAGACUAACUUUCAUUUCAACAAUGUGUCAAAUAUAUUAUAGCCAGGGUGCGAUUUGUGAAAAAAACAGAGGGGGGGAUGCUUUUGAAAAAUUUUAUUAAAUGUUUUUAAUACGACAGAAAUUGUAUUUAGUGUGAUCUCAGUUUAAUAAAAACAUUGUAAGCCUACGUUAGGCCUAUUAAUUGUAAUGAUUUAAUGUCCACGGUUAUUCAAACAACAAAUUACAUCGAGAAAGCGAGCAAAGAACACAACGGAGCUUUUGAAACUCCGAAUCAGUUAAACCAUUGCGUCGCAAAAAAAAAGUUUCGAAGCACUCCAAUCGGAUCACGUAUCGUGAAUCAUUUGAUUCAGAUCGGGACGUCAGAGUGGGUUUGCAUGAUGUUUUUAUCCCCACCGGGGAUAAAAGUUAUUCAGCAGAGGCAGGGAUGCAUAGACCAGAGAGGGGGAAAUCCCCCCCAUCCCCCCCGACAAAUCGCACCCUGAUUAUAGCAGUGCUUCCCAAACCUGUCCUGGAGGACCCCCUGCCCUGCAUGUUUUGUAUGUCUCCCUAAUCUAACACACCUGAUUCCACUCACCAGACUAAAUUGGGUGUGUCUGAUUAGGGAGACAUACAAAACAUGCAGGGCAGGCAGUCCUCCAGGACAGGUUUGGGAACCACUGUAUUAUAGUUUGUAGAAACAUCUAUGCAUAUAAACAAUAACAUGCAAAACCUUUUGCUCUUUGUAUUAUUUCACCUCUUUUGUCGCUUACAUACUAAUCUUGUAUUUUCAUUUUAAAAUUGUGUUCUAGGUAUAUGGUUGGUUCCUACGACAAAUUACUUGUGAUUUUCCUCAUGUGUAAGAUGCUAUAAAAUCAUCUGCUGAAUUGAUGUAUUCACAAUAUGUCAGAUUAAAUCUUUUUAAAUUAAAAAAAGCA